rnacentral:rRNA from 1 species
AACGAACGCUGGCGGCAGGCUUAACACAUGCAAGUCGAACGCCACCUUCGGGUGGAGUGGCAGACGGGUGAGUAACGCGUGGGAACGUACCUUUUGGUUCGGAAUAUUCUCGGGAAACUGAGAGCAAUACCGGAUAAGCCCUUCGGGGGAAAGAUUUAUCGCCGAAAGAUCGGCCCGCGUUAGAUUAGGUAGUUGGUAGGGUAAUGGCCUACCAAGCCUACGAUCUAUAGCUGGUCUGAGAGGAUGAUCAGCCACAUUGGGACUGAGACACGGCCCAAACUCCUACGGGAGGCAGCAGUGGGGAAUAUUGGACAAUGGGCGAAAGCCUGAUCCAGCCAUGCCGCGUGAAUGAUGAAGCCUUAGGGUUGUAAAAUUCUUUCAACGGGGACGAUAAUGACGGUACCCGUAGAAGAAGCCCCGGCUAAACUUCGUGCCAGCAGCCGCGGUAAAAAGUCACGUCG